rnacentral:rRNA from 1 species
UACGUAGGGGGCAAGCGUUGUCCGGAAUCAUUGGGCGUAAAGCGCGCGUAGGCGGCCCGAUCAGUCCGCUGUAAAAGUCCAGGGCUCAACCCUGGAAAGCCGGUGGAUACUGUCGGGCUGGAGUCCGGAAGAGGCGAGUGGAAUUCCUGGUGUAGCGGUGGAAUGCGCAGAUAUCAGGAAGAACACCAACGGCGAAGGCAGCUCGCUGGGACGGUACUGACGCUGAGACGCGAAAGCGUGGGGAGCGAACAGG